GACCCUCUGGCAUUUGCCACUUUCUGCUGGUCUACGUUGGGCUUUGCUGACACUGGUCUUUGCUGAUGAUGCUAUGAUGGAGAUGUUCCGGCUGUUUCCUUCUGCUUCAGCGGACUCGUGCUAAUCAGUGGAACCUCUCAGUUUUCUCUGGAUCGUGUCACUGCUGCUGAUUUGAGUGGACUGGAUGACUGACAACGAAGAUUGGAACCACCCCAGAGAACUGCUUCUAACCAGGGUGGGGGGAGCCACCGAGCCCGCGCUCCCCCCAGCUCCCAGCAGCCGGGCGCAAAGCAGAUGUUCCACCGCGGACGCGGAGUUGCGCUGAGUCUCGCGCCCCGGAGGCCGCGGUUGCCAUGGCGACGGCCGGGCCGCCUGCUGUCGCGGAGCACGCUGUCUCGCCCGCUCAGUGAUUACCUCCAUCUCUGCAGCGUUCGCCAUACGGCCGGGAUUCUAAUCAGUUCCCCUCCCCCUCCCCUCCUCUGCCCAGCCCACUAUCCCUUAACCCCCCACCCCCGCACCAACGUCUUAGGAACUCAUUAAGCGUUGCGGCUGCAUCCCAGCAAGUGUUCGAGCAAACAGAGAGCUCAGAAGUG
rnacentral:lncRNA from 1 species